rnacentral:tRNA from 1 species
GUUAUGGUUCAGUGGUAGAGCACUUGCCUCGCAUGUGUGAGGCCCUGGGUUUGAUCCUCAGCAUCACA